rnacentral:rRNA from 1 species
UACGUAGGGUGCGAGCGUUGUCCGGAAUUAUUGGGCGUAAAGAGCUUGUAGGCGGUUUGUCGCGUCUGCUGUGAAAAUCCGGGGCUCAACCCCGGACUUGCAGUGGGUACGGGCAGACUAGAGUGUGGUAGGGGAGACUGGAAUUCCUGGUGUAGCGGUGGAAUGCGCAGAUAUCAGGAGGAACACCGAUGGCGAAGGCGGGUCUCUGGGCCACUACUGACGCUGAGAAGCGAAAGCAUGGGGAGCGAACAGG